rnacentral:lncRNA from 1 species
CACACUUGAUUGUUAGAUCAUUUUUGUUUUUAGAGAAAGUUAUUUGAUCAAUUGAGAUUCAUUUGAUUUUUUAGAGAAAUUUAUCUUAUAAAUUGAGUUGCACUUUGUUAGAUCUGAUGUGGAGAUUAUUGGGCCAUCGUUGAAGCACUUGGACAUGCGUUCACGAUGCGUCAGGGAAUAUUAUUUCCCUGAGUAUGCUGCAGAAUACAACAUAAAAGUUUGUGCUCCAAAUCUUACUUGGCUUACCAUUGACCAAAAUUCAAAAAGGGUGUGCCUUGAUUAUGUCCCAAAUCUUGUCAACAUGAAUUUCUACUGUAGAUUUCCGUUUGGGGAUACAAUGCACCAUUUUGCGAAGGCAGCUGCGCAACUCCAAACUCUCAUCAUUCACUUAUAUAAACCCCCGGUUAGUUUGGUUAUUGUCGAAAAAUACAUCAUGAUCUUUUUCUUUUGCCAGAAAAUAUAUGAUUGAAUUUAAGAUUGAUUCUAAAUUAUUCCUUAUAUUUUGUUCAGAUCCUAGUUUUUUUGAAAUUCAAUUUAAUGUGAUAAUCAUAAUUUUGCUAAUUGGUUUUGAUCAAAAUUGCAAGUCACAUAACGAUUCAAGAUAUUUUUUGGCAGAAAAAAGGUCAUGAUAUAAAUCAUGAAAUUGGAAACUUUUAUUAUUAUUCGGCAAUAACUCUUGUUUCUUUUUAUGCAUUCUUAUUUUAGUCAUUAACCAUUUUUUUUAUAUUAUUCUAAUUUGUGAUUAAUAUUAUACUAAAUUAAAUGUUUAUUUUAGGCUACGUUUUCCCCCCCUCAAAUGCCUAAAUUGAAGAAGUUGGUUGUCUAUUACCGUUCUGCAUAUACAGAUGUUUCUUUACCUGUGACUCGUUUUUUAUGUGCGGUGCCUAAUCUAGAAGAAUUCAAACUAGAGGUUGGUGAAAUAAUUAAUGUACUUGUAUCAAUUUAUAGGAGUGAUCGCGUUUUGUGUCUCUAACUUUCAAUAUUUUUAGUUUAUGAUCACAAUGUUUGCUUUCUAUUCAAAGUUGUUAUUCAAAAAAUGUAGGGUUAAUUGACUAUAAAUAGACGAACUAUACCCAAAUUUUAGUUUAUGACAAAAUCUAUAAUUUUGGUAAAAAAAAAAUACAUAGAUUUUUUUUUUGAAAUUUGAUUCGAGCUGAAAGUUCGUUAAUUGUUUGAAUUUUGAUAGGCAAUGUGAAGGUACCUUUUUAAAGCUCUUGACAUAAUCUUUCUAAUGUUGCAUAUGUUGUUAGGUUUUGGUCACUGAAGUGGUAAAAGUUGAUGUCAUGAAUCUCUAUAUCUUUGGGACCAUCAAGUAUGAGUUCAUUAGAAAGAUAAGGUCAAGAGUUUUCCAACUAUAUAUUCGGAUUGCCCAUCGAAACUUAGACAGUCAAGAAGCUAUCAACCAACUAACUUUUUGAGUAACGUCAAAUUCCAAAAAAUAAAAAAUUUAUGUGUGUUUUCAAUUAAAAAAAGAGACUUGAUUAAAAAUCAAAAUUUGGGUAUAGUUUGUAUAUUUAGAGGCAAUAACGAAAAAUAUAUGGGAUACUUGAGUGGAUUUUUUUUAUCCACCUCACCUAUAUGAGUCGACUCUUUAUCUUGUAUUGCUUAAAGUUGGGACAUAAAACAUAAUUAAUCCUUAUUUAUAUUUGGUGUCUCUCUCACUCACUCACUCAUUUGUGUUUCGCGUGUUUGUAGAUUAGUGAGGCUUAUAUGGGAUCAAGACCACCGGUGUUUUUGAGUUCCAAAAGUUGGUAUAGAUGCCUGUGGAUGUUUUCCACAUCGGCAUCUUAAGCUUUUUUUGUUAUCCGGGUAUUUUGGAGUGAGCAAAAUGAGCACUUGGAUUUUAGUAAUUUUGAAGUGAGCUUGGAUUUGGUGAGAUACAUAGUGGAAAAUUGUGUUGUGCUUGAAGAAAUAGUUAUCGGACAUUGUGAUCGUGUUGGAUUGGUGAAGGAUAUUGUGGAUUAUGAUGAUGAAUCCCUUAGUGAGAUCAUCGUCGAACCUCAAUUGUCUUAUUGUGGCCAUGUGGCUACACCUGAGCAACAACAGGCUUUUGAAAAAAUCAUGCAGAUGCAACAUAUACCACAACACAUUAAAUUACGUCUUGUUUUUGAGAUUGAACCACCUAUAAGUUUGAAGCAUUAAUUAUUAGAUGUAUUUGAUGACAUUGUGAUUUAGUUUGGAUUGUUGUAAUAUUUUAUUUCUAUGUAUGGUAGAAACUCUGAUCGUGUAAGUCAUAAUUGUUUUAAAUUAUACUAGUUUUUUGCCCUAAAAAAUUUAUACUACUAGUUUUGCUCCCAUGUAAAACCUCAAUUUAUGAUGUGGCUCGUCUCGAACGAUUCUGUGUAAGUUAUAUUUUAUUGUUUUGAAUGAUAUUACUUUUGCUCCCGUGCGAUA